rnacentral:rRNA from 1 species
UUAGCGGCGGACGGGUGAGUAACACGUGGGUAACCUGCCUGUAAGACUGGGAUAACUCCGGGAAACCGGAGCUAAUACCGGAUAGUUCCUUGAACCGCAUGGUUCAAGGAUGAAAGACGGUUUCGGCUGUCACUUACAGAUGGACCCGCGGCGCAUUAGCUAGUUGGUGGGGUAAUGGCUCACCAAGGCGACGAUGCGUAGCCGACCUGAGAGGGUGAUCGGCCACACUGGGACUGAGACACGGCCCAGACUCCUACGGGAGGCAGCAGUAGGGAAUCUUCCGCAAUGGACGAAAGUCUGACGGAGCAACGCCGCGUGAGUGAUGAAGGUUUUCGGAUCGUAAAGCUCUGUUGUUAGGGAAGAACAAGUGCGAGAGUAACUGCUCGCACCUUGACGGUACCUAACCAGAAAGCCACGGCUAACUACGUGCCAGCAGCCGCGGUAAUACGUAGGUGGCAAGCGUUGUCCGGAAUUAUUGGGCGUAAAGGGCUCGCAGGCGGUUUCUUAAGUCUGAUGUGAAAGCCCCCGGCUCAACCGGGGAGGGUCAUUGGAAACUGGGAAACUUGAGUGCAGAAGAGGAGAGUGGAAUUCCACGUGUAGCGGUGAAAUGCGUAGAGAUGUGGAGGAACACCAGUGGCGAAGGCGACUCUCUGGUCUGUAACUGACGCUGAGGAGCGAAAGCGUGGGGAGCGAACAGGAUUA